UCGAGAGGCUUCGGCAAUGGGGGAAACCCUGACCGAGCGACGCCGCGUGGGGGAUGAAGGCCUUUGGGUUGUAAACCCCUGUCAAGUGGGACGAAACACUCUGAGGUGAUAAACCGAGGGGUUUGACGGUACCGCCAGAGGAAGCUCCGGCUAACUCCGUGCCAGCAGCCGCGGUAAUACGGGGGGAGCAAGCGUUGUUCGGAAUUACUGGGCGUAAAGGGCGUGUAGGCGGCCUUGUAAGUCGGGGGUGAAAUCCACUGGCUCAACCAGUGACGUGCCUUCGAAACUGCUUGGCUUGAGUAUGGCAGAGGAAAGCGGAAUUCCAGGUGUAGCGGUGAAAUGCGUAGAUAUCAAGAGGAACACCUGAGGUGAAGACGGGUUGCUGGGCUGACACUGACGCUGAGGCGCGAAAGCCAGGGGAGCAAACGGGAUUAGAUACCCACGUAGUCCCUGAGCGGGCUGGCAAGGCGCAU
rnacentral:rRNA from 1 species